rnacentral:rRNA from 1 species
UACGUAGGGGGCAAGCGUUGUCCGGAUUUAUUGGGCGUAAAGAGCUCGUAGGUGGUUCGGUAAGUCGGAUGUGAAAUCUCCAGGCUCAACCUGGAGGGGUCAUUCGAUACUGCCGUGACUAGAGUUCGGUAGGGGAGUGUGGAAUUUACGGUGUAGCGGUGGAAUGCGCAGAUAUCAGGAGGAACACCAAUAGCGAAGGCAGCUCGCUGGGACGGUACUGACGCUAAGGCGCGAAAGCGUGGGGAGCGAACAGG